rnacentral:pre_miRNA from 1 species
UAUCUACUCCCUCCGUCCGAAAAUACUUGUCGGAGGAAUGGAUGUAUCUAGUCGUAUUUUAGUUUUAGAUGCAUCCACUUUUAUCCAUUUCCGCGACAAGUAUUUCCGGACGGAGGGAGUACUAU